GGGCCAGUGGUCUAGUGGUUAUGACGUCGCGCUUACAACGCGGAGAUCGCCUGUUCAAUUCCGGCCUGGCCCAC
rnacentral:tRNA from 1 species